CAGUAGCCGCGGGAAAACGGAGGGUGCAAGUGUUAAUCGGAAUUACUGGGCGUAAAGCGCACGCAGGCGGUUUGUUAAGUCAGAUGUGAAAUCCCCGAGCUUAACUUGGGAACUGCAUUUGAAACUGGCAAGCUAGAGUCUUGUAGAGGGGGGUAAAAUUCCAGGUGUAGCGGUGAAAUGCGUAGAGAUCUGGAGGAAUACCGGUGGCGAAGGCGGCCCCCUGGACAAAGACUGACGCUCAGGUGCGAAAGCGUGGGGAGCAAACAGGAUUAGAUACCCGCGUAGUCCCUGUCUCUUAUAC
rnacentral:rRNA from 1 species